rnacentral:rRNA from 1 species
GGUGAACGCUGGCGGUAGGCCUAACACAUGCAAGUCGAACGGCAGCACAGUAAGAGCUUGCUCUUACGGGUGGCGAGUGGCGGACGGGUGAGAAAUACAUCGGAAUCUACUUUUUCGUGGGGGAUAACGUAGGGAAACUUACGCUAAUACCGCAUACGACCUACGGGUGAAAGCAGGGGAUCUUCGGACCUUGCGCGAUUGAAUGAGCCGAUGUCGGAUUAGCUAGUUGGCGGGGUAAAGGCCCACCAAGGCGACGAUUCGUAGCUGGUCUGAGAGGAUGAUCAGGGAGACGGGAAAUGAGAAAAGGGCAAGAACACUACGGGAGGCCGCAGUGGGGAAUAUUGGACAAUGGGCGGAAGAGUGAUACAGCCAUGGCGAGUGUGUGAAGAAGGUCUGCGGAUUGUAAAGCAUGUUAAGUUGGGAGGAAGGGCAGGAAGUUAAUACCUUGCUGUGUUGACGUUACCAACAGAAUAAGCACCGGCUAACUUCGUG